rnacentral:rRNA from 1 species
UACGGAGGGUGCGAGCGUUGUCCGGAAUCAUUGGGCGUAAAGGGCGCGUAGGUGGCCUGGUCAGUCCGUGGUGAAAGCGCGGGGGCUCAACCCCCGCGUCGGCCACGGAUACUUCCGGGCUGGAGCACUGUAGAGGCAGGCGGAAUUCCGGGUGUAGCGGUGGAAUGCGUAGAGAUCCGGAAGAACACCGGUGGCGAAGGCGGCCUGCUGGGCAGUGGCUGACACUGAGGCGCGACAGCGUGGGGAGCAAACAGG